UUCCUCCCGGGGGAGCGCGGGGUCUCCCCGUCGGCUCCCGGGCAGGCUGCCUAGUGCUUGGGGAGAGAAGUCGUGUUGAUUAGAGGAAGACAGCCGCCUUCGCUGGGAUGAUUUUUUAAAAUUAGCCUUUUAGAUAGGCAGUGGUGCGUAAGGGAUGAGCCUUGCGCACCAGGGAGCCACCCAAAGAUUUUAGAAAUAGGGCUUGGUCGGCGGUGACACAUUGACCAGUCUUCUGAUUCCAGCACCCACUGCCUCUCUCCAGACUUAACUGACUGUGGAUUUUUUGUUCUCUUGCCUUAAAAAAAGAGAUUUAGUUCAUUCAGCCUAUGCUUUUUUUUUAACUGCGGAAAUAGGGAUAAUUUGUGACAAAUAGGGAUAAUUUGUGACAGGGGGUUGUUUUUAGUUCAGCAUGCUCUCCAGGUUGGCAGGUAGCUGACCUUUAUUUCAAUGACACACAGUGCUACUAAUCCUCUCUUGCCCAACCCCACACUUGGUUGCUGUGAUCGACAGCCAUGUGAGCACUUUUUUUUUUUUUUCUUUUUUGGUUUUUCGAGACAGGGUUUCCCUGUGUAGCUUUAGAGCCUGUCCUGGAACUAGCUCUUGUAUGUUGGGUCCCAGCCCUGAGGGAUCUCAGUGAGUUGCUUGUCAGCCAAUAACCACAGAUGCAUCCUGUUUUCUAGUCCUGGCUUACAGCCCGGGCCUUGCCCACUGCCUCAGUCAAUUACACCUGGGGUUUCUCCGCUGUGCUGUAAGUGUAUAUAUAAGGCUGCUCUCCCCCUGAAAUAAAGUCGGACUUCUCUGCUUUUAACUAACUCUCCAGGCUUUGCCUGAUGUUCGGACUUGCUCGUGGUGCAGGCACCACACUUGUAGACCAGGCUGAUCUUAAACUCACAGAGAUCUGCCUGCCUCUGCCUCUCAAGUGCUAGGAUUAAAGGCCUGUGCCACCAUCGCCCGGCUCAAGUGAACAUUCUUACAGUCGACCCCCAAACCCCCAUGCUUUCCCAUUGUGACCAACACACAUGUGAACAUUCUUAAUGCAUUUAAGUUCUGCCAUUUCCAGGAGAAAGAUUUUCUAGCAUAUAGCUCAUACCCAGGAGAAAAAUUGUUAGGCUACCUUUUGGUUUUAAUGUCUAACACCUUUGAUAAUUGUAAUAUCUUGGUCAUCUCAGUUGGAAACUGUUGGUUCUAUUUUAUUUUGAUAGUUGUUCACAUCUUCCCAGUUAUUUUGUAUUGUAUAAUCCCUGAUUUUUUGUUCCUGGAUUUUUUAUCUUGGGUAAUAUGGAAUUUUUAUUUUCUUUUAGCAAGCAAUCCUUGGGUUGGCAUCACAGGCUCAGUCUUUCGUGUUCCAGUUGCUCUGGUUUGUCUCUAUGUGCACCUGUGACCUAGAUGGUUAUGCCAGGCAUUCAGGGCCAUGACGACUACUGGGUGGUGCCAUUUGGGAAAAAUCACAAAGAUAUCAAGCCAGCUGCGUUGACUGUAGAACCAGGGACGAGCUGUGAUCUCGUGCUUUCGUGCCCCAUGUUGGGCUCCAGCUAUUGGCCAGGGCUCUCUCGAAGCUCCUAGAGCCGGACCUCAGAUUCACAUCAUGUGGCCCUCUGAAAGCAUGGAGCUUAUUGCUCCGAAGCCAACAGGAGAGCUUCUCCCAAUUCUGCUGCUGCUGCUGUUACAGCUGCUUACAACAGCUAUUAUCGUUGCUAGAGUCUUAUAUUCAAUGUGACACCAUAGGCAAAAUGAUUCUACUGCUUUUGUUAUAUUACAUAUCCUAAUAAAAGGAGGGGUAUCCCGAUACAGUCCCAAGCACAUCAGGAAUCUUAGGGGCCAGUUUUAGGUCUAACCAACCAUGGUUUUUGACUGGGUAACUGCUGCCAGCACAUGAAAUCCAUCUUAAACAGAAUGUCCACUUGUUUUCUUUGACAUUCUCUUGAGAACAGCCACUAGUUCAUUAGCGUACUUAGAAAGUAUGAAUUUCCAGUGUGAAUUAACAUUGACACACAUGUCUUACAGAGUUCAAAGGUACAUCUCUGGGCAUAUUUUGCCACACAGAGUUUUCCUUACAAUUUAAAAUAAACGUGCUGUAAGAAAUGAUUAAA